rnacentral:rRNA from 1 species
GACAGAGGGUGCGAACGUUGUUCGGAAUUACUGGGCGUAAAGCGCAUGUAGGCGGCAGCGCAAGUCGGGCGUGAAAUCCCACGGCUCAACCGUGGAAGUGCACUCGAAACUGCGCAGCUAGAGUCCUGGAGAGGAAGGUGGAAUGCUUGGUGUAGAGGUGAAAUUCGUAGAUAUCAAGCGGAACACCGGUGGCGAAGGCGGCCUUCUGGACAGUGACUGACGCUGAGGUGCGAAAGCGUGGGGAGCAAACAGG